GUGAAAUUGAACUCGCUGUGAAGAUGCAGUGUACCCGCGGCAAGACGGAAAGACCCCGUGAACCUUUACUAUAGCUUGACACUGAACAUUGAGCCUUGAUGUGUAGGAUAGGUGGGAGGCUUUGAAGUGUGGACGCCAGUCUGCAUGGAGCCGACCUUGAAAUACCACCCUUUAAUGUUUGAUGUUCUAACGUGGACCCGUGAUCCGGGUUGCGGACAGUGUCUGGUGGGUAGUUUGACUGGGGCGGUCUCCUCCUAAAGAGUAACGGAGGAGCACGAAGGUUGGCUAAUCCUGGUCGGACAUCAGGAGGUUAGUGCAAUGGCAUAAGCCAGCUUGACUGCGAGCGUGACGGCGCGAGCAGGUGCGAAAGCAGGUCAUAGUGAUCCGGUGGUUCUGAAUGGAAGGGCCAUCGCUCAACGGAUAAAAGGUACUCCGGGGAUAACAGGCUGAUACCGCCCAAGAGUUCAUAUCGACGGCGGUGUUUGGCACCUCGAUGUCGGCUCAUCACAUCCUGGGGCUGAAGUAGGUCCCAAGGGUAUGGCUGUUCGCCAUUUAAAGUGGUACGCGAGCUGGGUUUAGAACGUCGUGAGACAGUUCGGUCCCUAUCUGCCGUGGGCGCUGGAGAACUGAGGGGGGCUGCUCCUAGUACGAGAGGACCGGAGUGGACGCAUCACUGGUGUUCGGGUUGUCAUGCCAAUGGCACUGCCCGGUAGCUAAAUGCGGAAGAGAUAAGUGCUGAAAGCAUCUAAGCACGAAACUUGCCCCGA
rnacentral:rRNA from 1 species